UGGCUAGGGAAUCCACACAGCUUGUUCUGAAAGCCUUAACUGGCAGUUGACUCAAAAACCCAGACACUGCGGCCUCUGUGCAAUAGAGUCUGACACCCCUGCUUUAGUGGAAGGGUAACCCCAUCCCUAGGAGGUGCUGGGACUGGGCAAUCAGACACAAGGUCAAGUCUGACGGAUUGUUCCUGUAAAUUCACCCGUCUUUAAAUCAUGUGGAUGGAUCAGCCCAUAUACUCUGUACAGGGUGUCAGCUAGAGCACAAAUCAUUAAGACCCGUUGAUCUACACAGAACUGUGCAGAGAGUGACAUCCU